UAAGAACAAAUUCUAUUUACAAUGACGGCCUCCUGGGGACCAGUGGGUUAACUGCCUUGUUCAGCGGCAGAACAACAGAUUUUUACCUUGUCAACUCUGAGGUCGUCCCAUUGUUUCCGAAAGGGGAAAGUUUUUACCAAUUGUUGGUAGUUAAAACGUAAACCAGUUAUUAUUAUAAUACAGUUUUUAUGGCUUGGUCCUAAGAAGAGGUUUUAGUGGUAAAUUAAAAGGUAGUUUUUUUUGGUGCCAUUUAUGGAAAACUGAAUUGGGUUUGUGGCUGGAUCAGCAGCUCUUCAUCAUGCGGCCGGAGAGACUCAAUACAACAGGGGUCUCUGAUUUCUAUGCUGCAGUACUGAGGGCCUGGCAGCUGCUGAGACCCACACGAGAGGAGGGGGGGUGGUGACUGGGCCGUGGGUCUGGGAGGAACCACUGAUCACUGGGUUUGGUGGACCUGGAGAGCAGGGUGGCAGCGUUCUGACUCAAAGCAGCACAGAGGCUACUGUACCGUACGGAGGUGGGCUUAGCGGGAGGGAAGGGGCAUCAGAGGCAGGGGGUUGUGGGGGCUGAGAGCAUGGCAGGGUAUAGGUGGAGGGUGCUCUAUAAGCUCCCAGUGCUGGAAAGGUCAGGGGUCAUCCAGUGGAGGGUAUUACAUGGAGCCCUGGACACCAAUAGCUGAUUGGCUCGGGUUGACCUGGGAGUUGAGGAGGGGUUGUCCGUUUUCUACAAUGACAGACUGUUCAUCAUGUUUUCUCUGUGUUGCCGGGGUAAUGCCAUUACUGUUUAUUUAAUUUCACCUUUAUUUAACCAGGUAGGCCAGUUGAGAACAAGUCCUUUAUUUAACCAGGUGGGCCAGUUGAGAACAAGUCCUUUAUUUAACCAGGUAGGCUAGUAGAGAACAAGUUCUCAUUUACAACUGCGACCUGGCCAAGAUAAAGCAAAGCAGUGUGAUACAAACAACAACACAGAGUUACACAUGGAAUAAACAAACGUACAGUCAAUAAUACAGUAGAAAAGUCUAUAAACAGUUG